UACGAAGGGGGGCGAGCGUUGUUCGGAAUUACUGGGCGUAAAGGGCGCGCAGGCGGCUCUGAAAGUCAGAUGUGAAAGCCCCGGGCUUAACCUGGGAACUGCAUUUGAUACUCUAGAGCUUGAGUACGGGAGAGGAGAGUGGAAUUCCCAGUGUAGAGGUGAAAUUCGUAGAUAUUGGGAAGAACACCGGUGGCGAAGGCGGCUCUCUGGACAGUAACUGACGCUGAGGAGCGAAAGCGUGGGGAGCGAACAGG
rnacentral:rRNA from 1 species